CCUACGGGCGGCAGCAGUAGGGAAUUUUCGGCAAUGGGGGGAACCCUGACCGAGCAACGCCGCGUGACGGAAGAAGGAAUUCGUUCUGUAAACUUCUGUUAUAAAGGAAGAAAGACGGAUGGAGGAAAUGACAUCCGAGUGACGGUACUUUAUGAGAAAGCAUCGGCUAACUCCGUGCCAGCAGCCGCGGUAAUACGGAGGAUGCGAGCGUUAUCCGGAUUUAUUGGGUUUAAAGGGUGCGUAGGCGGGCUGUUAAGUCAGCGGUAAAAGCCCGGGGCUCAACCCCGGCGAGCCGUUGAAACUGGCUGUCUUGAGAUGUCGAGAGGUAUGCGGAAUGCGCAGUGUAGCGGUGAAAUGCUUAGAUAUUGCGCAGAACUCCGAUUGCGAAGGCAGCAUACCGGCGGCGAUCUGACGCUGAGGCACGAAAGCGUGGGUAUCGAACAGGAUUAGAUACCCUGGUAGUC
rnacentral:rRNA from 1 species